UUACCUGCAGAUUGAGAAGGUUGGUUUGCUGUUGUAUACGCAUAUUGAAUUUUCCUUUUAGUUUUGCUAAGAUUCUCUGAAGGUGAUUGUGGGUUGUGUAGCUGCGUUUAGUGAUGUUGUUACCUCGUCAUCUCUUUGGGUGUUUUGAGAUGCUGGUAUAUGAGCUCACGGAGUUUACUCGUUUUAUUUUAACUACUAUCUGCAAUGUUUCUAUUAUAUUUGCAAAUACUCCCUUUGUAAACUAAUGUAAGACGCUCAAAAUUUGCACGCUUUGUGCAAUUCUAGAUUAUCACAGUGUCUAAUCAUCUUUUUUUUAAUGUUAGCAAAGUAACCUAUUGAAUUUAAUCUCUCCCAACAAGAACAGAAAUAAAAUUUACUCGUUUUAUUUUAACCUGAGAAUCGUGCUACUUGCACUUUUUCAAAAAACACCCUGUGCUCGGACAGAAUUUUGGAGCAGGGACAUCCAUACACAACACCACCUGGUGCCCGGUAGUUCCAACGGGCUGUCUCUUCUCCUUUCUCCUCCUCUCAAGAAAGAAACAGAGUCUUCUAGACCCCUCCCAAAUUCCUCGUCGCCGCCGGGAUCUCGCGUCACCGCUCUCCUCCGCUGCCUCCCGAACUUCCCUCGCUCUGGAUCCGGUCCACCAUGAGCCAAGCCUCGCCGCCAAGUCCCUUGCCGCCGCCUGUGUCCUAUGUCCCCACGGCAGCCGCCGCCGCAUCGGCCCCCUUGCUCGAUGCAUCGGCUCGGCUCCAGCGCGUGACCCAGGGUCGCAUGGUGGGCUGCGCGAGCCUGCUGGCCUGCCCCGCAGCCCCCUCGCCAACAUGGGCCCAGCCGCCCCUCCUCGCCUCGCGAGGUAGCUGGAGAAGAAGCUGCCGGAUCGGAGGCUACCGCAGGACAAGUUCAUCUGCUGCUGCUGUGUCUGCUUGUUGAAGAAGGGUGUGCCGGCAGGAGGAGGCAGUGUUGAGAGUGCUCGAUCUGCAACAGGGCGAGCUUGGGCUGCACCGCAGGCUCUGGUUCUCAACCUCCAACAUGAUUCCCUUUCUUCCGUGCCUCCAAUGGAGGCUACCAGCGGCAGGAACGCCACGAGACAUCCUGGCAUUGCAGAUGCAGAGCUUUCUAGGGGCGGCCUGUUUGUUUCCGGCCGCGCCGAUGUCAACUACCUUGAUCCACUGUGACUGUCCCCAACCACGCUCAACUCCCCAAACCUGUACCAUCCCCUCAGGUCAAUAUUCAUACCCUUUUUCAUUGCGACAUUUGUCAGAUUUUUGUACUUGGGAUGAUUUGGUGCAAGGUAUAGAGGAGCAUGAUCAAGCAUGGCUAAAUAUAUUUGCAAGUAGAGAAGUUCUUGAGUCACACACUAAAGGAAGAGAGAUAAGCUUUUUCUCUUUGUUGUAUCAAGUAAUUUACUUCCCAGUCCGCUAUAUAUUAUUGUGUACUGAACGCAGUCUGAAAUAACCUCUUUUACAAAAAAAUACAUACCUGUGUGGUUGUGUGAGAUCUAUUUGGAAGUGCUAAUUGAUGAAAUGUAUGUAGCAUUAGUAAUAACCUUCUGAUGUGUGGUCAGAUAUGUGAUAAUUAGUGAAAUGUUGCUUUAGAUAGUUUUUUCAUGACUUCAACAUGUGCCUAACAUCUCCUUGAUCAUGUGAGUUCAUAUAUCAGUUUUUAACUUCUGCAAGUAAAUUUUGAUGUUGUGCAAGUUAUAUAUGAUUGGAAUCACAGGGAAAACUGUGUGAUUCUUUUCUUUCAUGAUAGUAGACUCUUAAACCUACAUGAACCAGCAUAAUUGUUGUAAACAUUAUUUAAAGACGUAUAUCUUCAUUUAUCUUAAUUAGUUUAGAUACAUGGCGAGGGAAAUUCUACUCGAAGCUCAUUGCGUCAGAUAGUCAACCAAACGCACCACAUCGUGGGCUGGCCCACCAUGGCCGGAGAUGAGAAUGACCGCUCAAAGUGGAGUCGGAGACGACGCGACAAAUCAGAUUUUGGUGCAUUAUAUAGUCUCUCGGCAGUUUUAUUCCCUAUAAAAUGGUGUUUUUAGGUGAGAAGAUAGAUGAAGUGAGGGCUCAAGAGCUAAUAUUUUCGCGCUGAUGUUUUGAACAAACAAGAAAAAGAAGGAUACACUAUGCUUGACAAACGAUUCCAUGACCUGAUAGAUGCCUAUGGUAUGUAACUAUGUAAGUUGAACUAGCUGUGUGAGUUAUGCCUGACAUUUUAUUCUCUUCAUGGUGGUGCUGUGUACAGAUUCAUGCUUCUUGUUCAUAUUCAGCAAAGUAUUCAGUCAAACACCUUUACUUAAUUCUUGUUUCGUAAGGAACCUUCUAUAAGUGUGUGCUCAAAGCUCGCUAUAGUAUGUAUGUUAUUUGAAUAUAUUAUGCUAUUUAUCUUAACAUUCAAAAUUGGUGUGCCUAAAUAGCAAGAAAUGAGCAAUGUUGAAUCCUUGGAUUAAAGGCAACAUAAUAAUAUGUUUUUGGAGAUUUCUUGUUGUGCCCAUGCUGAUGAUUUGGGUGAUUUGGCGUGAGCGCAACAGCCACCGCUGCAUAUUUCACAAUUCAGAGUUAUUUGCUGCGGUGCUUGCGUGCAUUUGCCAUUGAGUAAUCCAAUGUUGAAAGGAGGCUGAAGCACGACACAUCAUUUUGCCAUAGUUUAAUGGGCUAACGGCUGAUGUGUGUAUUGCCUUCUACUUUUCAUGUGUUUGUAAAGUAUUUGUUCCUUCUAUCAAUGAAACCGACAACGGCCACUUUGGGUCAUCAAACUGAACCUAUAUUUCUAUGGAAUCUUGCGGUGAGGUUGAGGCAUCAUCAAACUGAACCUAUAUUUCUAUGGAAUCUUGCGGCGAGGUUGAGGCAUUAAUGUUCAUUGAAGUGCCAAAUUCAUGUACAUGAAAAAACUUUCUGAACUUGUAUAUAGUAUCUUAUGUAUGCAAGUUAUAUAUCCUAUAUUUUAUGCAUGUUCUUUUUUCAUCUUAAUUCUCACCCAUGGGUGGCAUUUUGGACCGUAUUAAUGCUCAUGGGCAUGGAGAUAUGAUGUUGCACGGCAUGAGUAGGUGAUGGAAGAGGAGAUGUGAACAUGUUGGCCCCAUUGGAUUGAAGCCGGAGGAUGAAGUAACUUGUUGCCAUACCUCCAUUGCACAUACUCUUGGGGAUAGAUAAUGAGAUUGUGGUGUUGUCGUUCUUUCAUUAUCGAUAUUAAGGUUAGUCCAAAGUGAUAUGCUUAAUGUGUCACCAUUUCUAGCGGAAAAUGAUGUGUGCUUGAGGUCGAGCACAUGUCAAGUGAGGUGGAACAAAGACAUAGACAGAUUUGGAGUUAGGUGUCAUCACAAAUUCACUAUUGCCAGAUAUGUGGACUUGUUAGCUAUUGCGAAAUGCUCUCUGUCCCUAGCGGACACCUCGAUAUAGGACUUAGCGGACAGAGGGAAAGCCGAGUAGGAAGAACAAGUCCUCUUCCAAGGUGAAAAUGGAAGCCCGUAUGUUUGAUUGUUCCCAAUGUGUACCGAUCAAAUAUUCAAAUGUAUAACAUCAUUUUGAUCAAUGUCUCCUACAUUAUUUCGUUGUCCCCUAGCAUUGCACUCAUGCCUUCUUUUUGAUUCCGUAGCGUAGCACGGGCAUCUUACUAGUUACAUCAGAAGUCUUUUCGACUCUCGAGUUGCUUGUGUAGAGCAAUGUGUGCCACCACCAAGUCCCGAACUAAAUGCCCCAUAGGCCAUUGGAUUACGGAAACCUUAUCGCCAGGCUUCAUUAGUUUCUAUGUUAGAUGCUUUUCUCAUUUGCUUGUUUUCCGCAUGAAUCAUACAAAUUGGAUGCAGAAAUACAUAAGUUUUGAAUCAUUAUACUUAAAUUGCUCCAAUAGCCAUCUUAGACGGAAUGCACCCUCAUGGCUCGACUAUAAAUACUUAUCAGUAUAUCAGUGGCUUAAGGUGUAAAAACAUCUGGGAAAAUUAAUUUUGUUUCUGGAAACAGCCUCUUGCAGAAAUGUAGGGAAAGGCUGCGUACUAUAGAAUCAAAGCGGUCGGACCCUUGCCCGGACCCUGCGCAAGCGGGAGCUACGUGCACCGGGCUGCCCUUUUUUUUAUACUGCUCUGCUUUGAAGAAGCUCUUGUUCUCUCUUUAAGUAUGAUUCCACUCACAAAUUCUUGGGUUAGUAUAUUGUUUCCUUAGACAUAUCUAUACUCCUUUAUAGUGCACGAGUAGGUUUUGGUAUUAGCCGUCAGAUAUGCUACAUCGGAUGGUUGGUAAGUGGCAAAUCUGUGAGCUGCUGCCUGCUAGUCGUAGAUUAAAGUCCAUCCAACGGUUCAAGUCGCCUGGAUUCACAGCUACAGUAUACCUCAUCCAACUGUCCUGCCAUCCAACCUGAUGAGGCAAUGACAAACGGGGCAACAGGGGAGUCUAAAUCUGACAGUGAAGCAUCAGAUGUUAGUGGCUCUGAUGGAGAAGACACCUCUUGGAUUUCAUGGUAUUGCAACCUAAGAGGGAAUGCGUUCUUCUGUGAAAUCGAUGAUGAUUACAUUCAAGAUGACUUCAAUGUUGUGGGCUUAGCAGUCAAGUUCCAUAUUAUGAUUAUGUUCUUGAUCUCAUUUUAGAUAUCGAGUCUUCUCAUGGUGAUAUUUUCACAGAAGAACAAAAUGAGCUAGUGGAAUCAGCUGCUGAGAUGUUGUAUGGGCUAUUUCAUGCGCGAUACAUUCUUACCGGUAAAGGGUUGGCUGCUAUGCUGGAGAAAUACAAGAACUAUGACUUUGGACGAUGUCCACGGGUUUAUUGCUGUGGCCAACCAUGUCUACCAGUUGGACAAUCGGAUAUUCACUGAUCUAGUACAGUGAAGAUAUACUGUCCCAAGUGCGAAGACAUCUACUAUCCACGGUCUAAAUACCAAGGCAAUAUUUUGCUGUUUCCUCACCUGUUUCUGAUGACAUACGAUCAUCUCAAGCCCCAGAAGCCCUCGCAGCGCUAUGUUCCUCACGUAUUUGGCUUCAAGCUCCACAAGCCAUUAUGCGGAGGUGAAGGAAAAGAUAAGAGGCCCCGGAAGACUACUACAUGA